UGCGGAGGGAUCAUUAAAGAGUUUUAUAACUCCCAAACCCAUGUGAACAUACUUUACGUUGCCUCGGCAGGUCGCGCCUACCCCGUAGCCUCCUACCCUGUAGGACCUACCCGGUAGACGCGGGUAAGCCUGCCGGCGGCCCAAGAAACUCUGCUUAGUAUUGAAUUCUGAAUCCAUAACUAAAUAAGUUAAAACUUUCAACAACGGAUCUCUUGGUUCUGGCAUCGAUGAAGAACGCAGCGAAAUGCGAUAAGUAAUGUGAAUUGCAGAAUUCAGUGAAUCAUCGAAUCUUUGAACGCACAUUGCGCCCAUUAGUAUUCUAGUGGGCAUGCCUGUUCGAGCGUCAUUUCAACCCUUAAGCCUCUGUUGCUUAGUGUUGGGAGCCUACGGCACCCGUAGCUCCUCAAAGUUAGUGGCGGAGUCGGUUCACACUCUAGACGUAGUAAUUUUUUCUCGCCUAUCAGUUGGACCGGUCCCCUGCCGUAAAACACCCCAAUUUCUAAAGGUUGACCUCGGAUCAGGUAGGAAUACCCGCUGAACUUAAGCAUA
rnacentral:rRNA from 1 species